GCCGACAGCGCGAAUCCGGCGAGCUCCCACAUCCCCAAACUGCCAAAACCACUUGAGAGAGUCAGUCCGACGGGGUUUGUCACGGGCAGGAACCGAGGGCAGGCGGCUCCCCGGGGGAUGCCCUAGGGCGCCCUCCCUCAGCCCUCGCCGGCUGCUGACCCGCGCGGCCGGGACACGUCCGGCUUUCCCCGGCCCCUCCGAGCCCGGCGGGGAGGGCAGGACAAGGACGUGGCCCCUGCAUGGCGCGGGUGGCACCCUACCCCGUACCUCAGCUGUCCUCACCGGGACCCCCGCCUCCCGAGCUUCACAAGGAGGAUGGAAGCACGGAAACUUGUGUAGUUUUCAAACAUGCAUCAUUAGCGAUCCAGCUUCCACUUGAACUGAAAAGCUUCAGCAACACGACCCGAGGUGAUUCUUGGUGACAGGAGCGCUUGAGGGUCCCUGGGGGUCUGGAGCCCUCUGUGGAGGUCAUUGCAGAAGGCGAUUGAGUUCAGCAGCUCCAACUCACACCACUUACCGUGUGUUUAAAGGGUUUCAGAGCAGAGGACAGGCUGAGAGUGCCCGUCACCGUCACACGCAAGAGCUCCUGCUUGUCCAGAUACAUUCUGGGCAAGGAUGGGUGUCAGGCUGCCAGACAUAGCCCAUUUUCCCUGCUGGACACUGCCCCGGGCAUUGCCCUCAUCCUGCUCUGUGCAGCAGAGCCAGUCUGUAUCCUGGCUUCCCCAUCACCUUCCUGACUGCAAACCCUGACCAAAACUAGGAAGUUCCACACUGUAUUGACAAUGAUCAAACUACCAAAAUUUACAUGAUGAAAUGCAGUCAUUACCACUAUGAUGCAUGGAGCCAGCAGAGUUUUGAGUGACAGACUCAGGCCCACCUGGAUGUAAAUGUGGCUUCCUGAGAGCCCUGUGGAGACUGUGAGGGACACUGGUUGUUGUGUGACUGAAGGCACUUUGGAACCACUGUGUGUUCAUCCCCUGCACGCUGCCCCUGGCAGGAGAGCAUCCUCCUCACCACAGUGUUGGAACCAGCAGCUCCUUUCUAAGUGAUGCCAUUCAUCCUCUUCUCUCUCCUCCCAGAUCUCCCAGACAGGUUCUGAUGCAAAAGGAGAAUAUGGGGCCAUGUCCAUGCGUGACAGUGUGGGAAGAUGGUAUUUCUCCACAACUGGAAAUACUACUGAUUGGAGAGAGGAUUUUUGGAUAUGGCAUGUUGUCUCCUGGAGAUUAGUGUGAAACUCCAUAUCUUUUCUCUGUCUGAUCUCAUUACAGUCAGCUCUCUAGGGGUGAAAAGUGAGUUCUCUAAACCAACUUAUUGUGAAAAAAUAUUUUGAAACAUAAAACAUUGUGGUUUGAUCCUACAUUCUCACAGGUAUACAUUGGAAAUCACUUGGUUGAAGUCAGGAACGUGUGUUAAGCUCUCAGAAGUAAAAACAGAAUGGAGGCUCUAAUAGUUUUUCCUACAUCAGGAAUUUGAUCUAAUCCACAGGAAAAUUGUACAUGAGUUCAACAGUCCAGCACUUUGCCUAGUGGUAUGCAGCUGAUUAUAACUCUGGACUUGUCCCUCCAAAGACCAGUCAAAAAUGAUCUCCAAACAUUUCUGAGAAGAAUUCUUGUAAAGAUGAUGAUGGUGAAUCAUGCCUUCAAAUGUGAAAGCUAGUACUGUCUCCAGAAAUUCAGUUGAUUUGAAUUUUCAGCAACAUUUUCUUCUGGACAUUACUCACCUCUGAU